rnacentral:rRNA from 1 species
GGUUCGGUGCUAAACCAGUUGAACGCUGGCGGGAUGCUUUACACAUGCAAGUCGAACGGCAGCACGGACUUCAGUCUGGUGGCGAGUGGCGAACGGGUGAGUAAUGUAUCGGAACGUGCCCUAGUAGCGGGGGAUAACUGCACGCGAAAGCGUAGCUAAUACCACAUACGCCGGCCUUCGAGGAAAGCGGGGGACCUUCGGGCCUCGCACUAUUAGAGCGGCCGAUAUCCAGGUUAGCUAGUUGGUGGGGUAACGGCUCACCAAGGCGACGAUCCGUAGCUGGUUUGAGAGGACGACCAGCCACACUGGGACUGAGACACGGCCCAGACUCCUACGGGAGGCAGCAGUGGGGAAUUUUUGGACAAUGGGGAAACCCUGAUCAGCCAUCCCGCGUGUGCGAUAGAAGGCCUUCGGUUGUAAAGCACUUUUUGGCAGGAAAGAAACGGCACGGGAUAAUACCCCGUGCAACUGACGAAGUACCUGCAGAAUAAGCACCGGCUAACUACGUGCCAGCAGCCGCGGUAAUACGUAGGGUGCAAGCGUUAAUCGGAAUUACUGGGCGUAAAGCGUGCACCGGGCGGUUCCGGAAAGAAAGAUGUGAAAUCCCAGAGCUUAACUUUGGAACUGCAUUUUUAACUACCGAGCUAGAGAGUGUGUCAGAGGAGGUGGAAUUCCGCGUGUAGCAGUGAAAUGCGUAGAUAUGCGGAGGAACACCGAUGGCGAAAACAGCCUCACGGGAUAACACUGACGCUCAUGCACAGCGUGGGAGCAAACAGGAUUAGAUACCUGGUAGUCCACGCCCUAAACGAUGUCAACUAGCUGUUGGGGCCUUCGGGCCUUGGUAGCGCAGCUAACGCGUGAAGUUGACCGCCUGGGAAAUACGGUCGCAAGAUUAAAACUCAAGGUCGGCAGGGACCCGCACAAGCGGUGGAUGAUGUGGAUUAAUUCGAUGCAACGCGAAAAACCUUACCUACCCUUGACAUGUCUGAAUCCCAGAAAGAGAUUUGGGAGUGCUCGCAAGAGAACCGGAACACAGGUGCUGCAUGGCUGUCGUCAGCUCGUAUCAGCAAGAUCGUUGGGACCGAUACGCAACGACAACACUGUAUCGAUGAUUGCCCCGAGGGCACUCUGUGAGACUGCCGGUGACAAACCGGAGGAAGGUGGGGAUGACGUCAAGUCCUCAUGGCCCUUAUGGGUAGACCCGUCAUACAAUGGUCGGGACAGAGAUUGCUUCCAACCCGCGAGGGGAGCCAAUCCCAGAAACCCGAUCGUAGUCCGGAUCGCAGUCUGCAACUCGACUGCGUGAAGUCGGAGAGAUCGCUAGUAAUCGCGGAUCAGCAUGUCGCGGUGAAUACGUUCCCAGGUCUUGUACACCGCCCGUCACACCAUGGGAGUGGGUUUUACCAGAAGUAGUUAGCCUAACCGUAAGGAGGGCGAUUACCACGGUAGGAUUCAUGACUGGGGUGAAGUCGUAGCUAAGGCUAA